CAACAUUAGGUGCAUCUUGACCCUCAGAGGAAUUGUUUGGCCUUUGAACUGGGAAACAGGUUCAUUGAUCACCAUGUUAUCCCUAGUCACUGGAACAAUUUGGUCUGAUCCGGUUGGACUAGAAGCCGUACCAAUAUGGCGGUUUCCAACCAUCUGACCGACAGCGAUAUUCCCUAGAAGUGACCAACUUCCCAUCGAUGGGCCACCAUAGUAACGCCUAGGACGAAUCAUUCUGCGACGCCUUUUGUUGCACCAAAAUCCACCAGUACACUAGUAGAAAUUUUAAUAUAGGCACCCCCCCUUUAGCACUGGUUCUUGAAAACCGGUGCCAACAGAAAUGGGCGGGAUUGGAAAAUUCAGAGUUGGCACCGAUUCCAACCAAAACCGGUGCCUACUAAUCUAAUUAGCACCGGUUCAAACCGGUGCCAACCCAAAAAAAAAAAAAAACCCGGAAGAAAACAAUAGAGUUGCCACUGGUUCGUCUUAAACCGCUGCCAACUAUAGUAGUUAGCACCGGUUUGAACCGGUGCCAUUAAAAAAAACCGGGCUUCUCGUAUUUCUUCUUCUUCUUUUCUUUCCCCCUGAUUUUUCAACACUUGUUUUUUCCCUUAUUCUCACCUUCUCUUCCAGGCCACCACCUCCGAAUUCCCACCUUCUCCAUUGAAGCCGUUUUUGUGCUCUAUAUCUCCGUCCGUUGAAGCAGUUGCAUGCACCUCCUUCUCUCUCCAUAUCUCUCCUCCAUUGAACUCGUGCUCUCUAUUCUCCAUUGAAGCGCAUUCUGAGUUUUCUCACCUCCAUUGAAGCAGCUUCGAGAUUAUUGUUAUAUAAAUGGAAUUUGUAGUAAAAGUUCCUGUGAAUGUGAGUACUUCUUCACAAUGCAAAUUUGGUGGAUUUUCUGGGAAUAUAAUCAGAAAAUCUGGGAUUGCGAAUGGGCGUAGGUCGUUUAUUUCAGCUGUAAUGUCAAGUAGCCCUGCUCCUAAUGUCCAAAAUCUUUCUAUCAAGUCCAAAGAUGUUGGAUUGCCUGUUAUGCACCUACGGCCCUGUCCAGGAUGUUAGGAUUCCAAGUCAAGAGAGAAGGAUGUUUGGAUUUGUUACCUUUGUUUACCCAGAAACAGUUCGGAAGAUCUUGGCCAAGGGGAACCCGCAUUUUGUUUGUGGUGCUCGUGUUCUUGUGAAACCAUACAGGGAAAAGUCAAGGCUUGUUGACAGUUUUUUGUAUUGGUGUGAAGGAGUAAAAACACUUUUAGGAGAAGACUGGCAUAUAUUCCUUGAUCAAAUUAGUCCGACUGAUGCUGUUGGAGCCAGUAACAAAUAUCUCAUCCACAGAGAUAGCUGUAAACUAUUUAUGCAAAGAAUAUGAAUUUUAUCUUGAGGCUUGAUUAAACUAUUAUGAAUACUUAGUGAGCUUUUAAAUAUUCUAAUUUGGAUCAAUACCUUCUAGCCCUUAUAGUUUCAUCUCUGGUAUUUUUAUCGGUAGGAGAUGAGGCUUUUCAUAUGGAGAUUUAGAGAGAGAUAGUCUCAUUUCAGUUACGGUUGUUAAUUUGGUUGAAACUUCAAUUUCCUAACUUUUUCUAAAGCCAAUAUCGAGUUUCAUAUAUUGUCUACUUUGUUGACAACAUAUCUUUAUGCUUUUCUUCAUCCAGAUAGUACCAUUUGAUCCCACUAAGAAAAAGAAGAAGAAAAAGGUUGUCAUUCAAGAUCCUGCUGAUGAACCUUUGGAUAAAUUGGCUGAGAAAACAGAAAACUUGUCAGGAUCAGGAAGGCAAGGAAGCUACUACUGUAGACGAGACUUUUCAUAGAGCUCUGGAAUACGGGCUUCCUACUCGAUUUCCAUUUUUCACAAUAUAUAGUCCUAUUAUGUAUAUGUGUAAUACUACAAGUUAUUGAAGAAAAUAUAUGUAUUCUAUGUAUAUUAUGAUUAUAUAUAAG